UACGGAGGGUGCGAGCGUUGUCCGGAAUCACUGGGCGUAAAGGGCUCGUAGGCGGCCAACUAAGUCAUACGUGAAAUCCCUCGGCUUAACCGGGGAACUGCGUCUGAUACUGGAUGGCUUGAGAUUGGGAGAGGGAUGCGGAAUUCCAGGUGUAGCGGUGAAAUGCGUAGAUAUCUGGAGGAACACCGGUGGCGAAGGCGGCAUCCUGGACCAACACUGACACUGAGGAGCGAAAGCCAGGGGAGCAAACGGG
rnacentral:rRNA from 1 species